GUGUGGAUCACUUUCAAAUCUCACAAAGACCAAAAAAAAAAAAAGAGCAAAAGAGCAAAAAAUGGCAAAUACAAUUGAUUCUCCAAAACUAGACAGACAUAGUUUUCCAGAUGGUUUCAUUUUUGGAACGGCUGGUUCAUCCUUUCAGUACGAAGGUGCAACAAAUGAAGGUGGUAAGUCUCCGAGUAUAUGGGACCACUUCAGCCACACUUAUCCAGAAAGGACCAAAAUGCAUAAUGGAGAUGUAGCAAUUGAUUUUUAUCAUCGUUACAAGGAUGACAUUAAAUUGAUGAAGGAGAUAAACAUGGACUCUUUCCGAUUCUCAAUCUCUUGGUCCAGAUUAAUUCCUAGUGGAAAGCUGAAGGAUGGAGUAAACAAAGAAGGUGUACAAUUCUACAAAGAUCUCAUAGACGAACUUCUUGCUAAUGGCAUACAGCCUUCAAUGACACUAUAUCACUGGGACCAUCCACAAUCUUUGGACGACGAAUAUGGUGGAUUUCUAAGCCCUAAAAUCGUAGAAGAUUUUCGAGAUUUUGCAAAAAUUUGUUUCGAAGAAUUUGGAGAAAAAGUUAAGUUAUGGACAACUAUCAAUGAACCAUACAUCAUGGCUAUUGCAAGUUACGAUAAUGGUAACAAGGCGCCUGGUCGAUGCUCGAGUUAUGUAAAUGAAAUAAGUCCGGCCGGUGAUUCAAGCACUGAGCCUUACAUUGUUUCACAUUACGCUCUUCUUGCUCAUGCUGUUGCAGUAGAUGAAUUCCGAAAAUGCAAAAAAAUUUCUGAUGAUAGUAAAAUUGGUAUAGUAUUGGCACCAAUAUGGCAUGAGCCUUAUAAUUCAGACUCUGCCGAUGAUAAAGAUGCAGUAGAACGAGCUCUAGCUUUUGAAAUUGGAUGGCAUCUUGAUCCACUUAUUCACGGAGAUUAUCCGGAUAUCGUAAAAAAAUAUGCAGGAGAUAAAUUACCUGUAUUUACUACAGAAGAAUCAAAAUUGCUAAAAGGUUCACUGGAUUUUGUCGGAAUAAAUUACUAUACAGCACGUUUCGCAACUCUCCUUCCUCACAUUGACCCUGAAAAGCCUCGGUGCAAGACUGACAAUCAAGUCGAAAGGAAACUGACUAACCACAGUGGUCACAGCAUCGGAAAUGGGAUUGGAAACGGUUUAUUAUUGUCAUACGCGGAAGGCUUGCGAAAAGUUCUUAACUACGUCAAAGAGAAAUACAACAACAUGCCAGUCUACAUCAAAGAAAAUGGGAUCCAUGACAGCGACGAUGGUACAAAAUCAAGAGAAGAGAUACUUAAUGACACUGUUAGGAUUGAAUAUCAUAAGGCACACUUCGAAGAACUUCACAAAGCUAUAGUGAAGGAUGGGUGUGAUGUAAGAGGAUACUAUGCAUGGUCUAUGAUGGACAAUUUUGAAUGGGAACAUGGAUACACUGCUAGGUUUGGUCUUUACUAUGUCGACUAUAUCGACGGGCUCAAACGUUAUCCUAAAGAUUCGGCGAUAUGGUUCAAGCGGUUCCUUAAAAGAUCGGUGGGGGAGACCAAGUAAAGAGGAGGUGGAGGAGUUAUCACAUAAGGUCAUGUUUAUAGUGAAGCAACAUGCGUGGGGCCACUGGAUCUUUUAUGGAGAGAGGAGGAUGAAAAUCGUUGAUCUUUCCAAAUUCCUUAUCAUCAUUUCAGUUCAAGAUUUCUUUUUGUUAUCGUUUCAGUUUUUUUCCUUUCAGUAAAGGCAAAGUGUGAUUGUGGAAUCAAGAAGAUGAGGAUGUUCUAGAGGCUCGAUUGUUGUCUGAUUUCUGUUAGGUUUCUAGAGUUGGUUAAUUAGAACAUUGUUAGGAUGCGGGUUAUUUGCUCAUUCACAUUGUUGGAUUAUAAACGGUUAGAUUUGGUAUUUGGUUAUUUAUUAUUAGAUUUAUUCAUUGGAUUA